UUUGUUCUGUGAAGUUUGGAUU
rnacentral:miRNA from 1 species